AAGCAAAGAUGAUUUAUUAUAUUGACAAGAGAGCCGAGUGACCACUCUAUCAAUGGAAAUACAUGUGUUCAACGAAUGAAGACAGGUAGAUCAGGUGGGACCAUUCCAACCAAUGAGAGGGCAGUGACAAUGGUGGAAGAAGGCAGAGUUUUGUGACUGCAGAAACAGACAUGAGGGGUGAUGAAUGGGUGAAGACCGGCUGAUACCAGAUUUGAAGAAAA